rnacentral:lncRNA from 1 species
ACGUUACAAACCAUUCAAGAACAGUUGCAUAAUUAUCCACAAUACAAAUCCAAAUAAAAGUGGCUGCAACAAUGACAGGUUGAGAACAAAGCUUUUGAAGAACCAACGGCCAAAACCUUUCUUCAGGCCAAAACGCUCUUAAAUCCAAUUGCCUCAUAGAGUGGAUCCAACCUUCCAUUCCAUCAAGUCACUUCACGUUGUAACCUGCAG